UGGCCCUCAGGACAUUAAAGAAUCAACUCCUCAGGUCUCUACUCCCAAAGGAAAAUGAUUCUUGGUUUUGAGCAAGCUGAACUCUCAGGAGUGGCCCAGGGAACUUUGGAGGUGAGUGAUGGGCCAGGAUGGUGGUGGAAGAACUGGUUCUGCAUAGAUGGUCUGGCUCCUGCUGUUCUCAAGAGAUGAAGCCUGUGCCAAACACGGACGGUACAGGAAAAGUCACAUUUCACAUCCUGGUACAAAAGAACAGAAGCAAAUGUGAGCUAGGUGGAAAGCGACACUGAAUCAAGGGGAGGAAAGAGCACCCAGGUGGGUGGAGGAGAGUCUGUGAAUGUGAGCAGACCCAAGAAGCAACCCAGCAAAAGACAUCAGAUCUACCAGAUCUCAGAGUCAUCCGUGGAGUGCUUCUCUCUGAUCUCUCCAAACCAUCAAAGUCAAGGUCAUCCACUCCCGUCCACCAACACCCCUCUUCUCACCCUCUCGCUCUGAGCUGUGGUUUCUGCCAUUCACCCAGUCACCAGGCUGAUCCACCCCUUCACUCACCACGUCCACUUUGCUCUUCUCCAAGACUACACUUGAUGGUCCCCAAUGGUUUGGGUCCAUUGAGGAUUAAACCACUGACCCUCCAUGAUUUUUCUCCUACUCUCCUCCACCUGGAUCCCUUCUCUAUCUACUUGGUAGAGGCUCAUUAACUGGCAUCUCCUGUUCUCCCUUCUUUCCAGGAAAAGGGCUUCCCCACUGUGGCUAGCCGUAUUCCUCCCAAAGGUCCAGCAGAUAUAGGGCAGCAUAACUAUGUGUGUCUGAAGGGGAGGGCAGGUUAUGCAACUCAAAAAUCAAAGAGACCAGGGGUAUAAUUUUAAAGGCAUACCAAUGAAACUGAACUAAAAAGAAGUAUGAAAAUAAUCAUCGACUUGAGAAGAACGAAGCAUGUCACAAAACAAGGAGAUAAGAUGGUUUUAGGUCCUGUUUUACUUUCAAGUGACUUGACCUGACAUUCCAUUCGAUUUUGCCUUGAGCACCGAAAACACUACAGUCCAUUCUUUUUUUUAAAAAGAGAUAUUUAUAUCCGCAUUCACCAAGAGCAAAGUGUUUUGAAAAGAACUUGAUUUUCUUAAUAUUGUCCACAGCGCAACCUCUGAAUGAGGAUGUGAGCUAGUAAAAAUAAAAGCAAUGUUUGAUACCUUUUUUUUCUAUUUACCUCCAAGGAUAAAAAAAAAAAUAGCCAGAUGAUGGAUUGGAAUGUUAAAACUCUCAAAAAAAAAAAAACCCCACCUUUCUUUGGUUACAUAGACAGAUAAUGAAGAGCACUCAAUUCUGAGCCAAAUUGUAAUAAAUGAUAUUCCGAUGUGCCAUAAGGAAGUGAAAUGGUCUAUUUUAAGGGCAAAGGGUAUGUGGUGAAGGAAACCAGUUAUAAACUAGUAGGAUUUUCUUAUUGCAUCUUCUGCCAGGAAGGAGUUCCUUCAGUUCAUGUCACUAGUACAGGCCCCUUCACCCAGAUGUCACCUGGGGACUUAUGGGAACCUAUUUGGAUAAAACUAAUCUGCAGUGACACUAAGGACAUAUUACAGAGAGAACAGCAGAAAGGAGACCAAGGGAAAAUCCUGAAUUUGUCAUUUUCAACUUAAUAGUUCCCAGUUGGAAUUUCUGGGGGGGGAAAGGUUGUGUGAAGAGGUAGCUGAAAUCAGGAUUCUGUAGAGGAAGGCAUUCCUGAGUGGAUUUUCAGAAUAAAGUCCACAAAAGACAAAAGUCAAAUCAAAUCAAUUCCUCCCAUAGCCUGGCUGCUCCAGAGCUCCAACAAUUUCCCAGACUUGACUUACAUGCAAGCAUUCCUGAGCCCCUUUGUCUCUGCCUCAAAAAUCUUGCUAAUCCUUUAUGACCCAGUAUAAAUAUCACUUCUAUGACCUUCUCAUUUUGGUCCUGUAAUCCCUGGAAAUAGCACCCUGCAAUACUUUUAUUGUAGUGUUUAUCUCUUGGUAUCGUGACAGUAUUUAAAAUGUCUGUCUCCCCCUCUAAACUGAGCCAGUUUCCUUUCUUUUCACCUGCCCUAAGCUCAGUGAGUGCUUAAGUUAUGCUUCAGUGAAAGAACUCAUACAUCAUUGCACAGAUGGAGGCCAACUCUGGACAUCCUGGAUAGGUCAGCCCUCGAUGACCCUCUCUGCUCCUAGUUUCCAGUAUCCGUUACAAGAAAUCACUGUUGGAUGAUUUCUAAAAGAUUGACGACAACUCUAGGAUUCUAAAGCAGUUGACUUGUGUAUCAGUUAAUUAUUGCUGCGUGACAACUCCCAAGAAUGGGUAGCUGGCUGAUAGUUUUUCUUCAUAGAAAAGACUAACAUGCCCCCACUAGUCUUGUCCAGGCACUUGGGUGUGAUUAUACUCAAUUGGCUGAGAUGGAAGGUUCAGGAUGAACUUGGCACCUGCCAGAGGACUUGGCACAAGCUGUCAGCUGGGUACUUUGGUUCUCUUCCAAGAGUCUUCUCUUCCUCCGGACACAAGACAAGCUUACUUACUUGGACAAACUCCUGUACACAGGCAACUAUCAAGUUUCUGCUUAUGUCACACGUGCUAGAUUCCCAUUGGCCACAGUUAGUUAAUGAGAGAGGAAAUUAGACUCUACCUCUUGCAAACAAAGGAGUAAAGAACAUGUAGUCGUUUUUAAUCUGCCACAACUUCACAUACACUCUAGAAUUUAAUUUUGUUGUCGCUGCUCCUGUGAAUGGGACUUCUUUUUUUAUUAUUAUUAUUUUUGGUUUUGCCUCUUUCUGCCAAUAUGUUUACACUUAAUUAUAUGUUCUCAUCUAAUUGCAUGGCUUGGCCCUUCUUGGUGAAUAUUAAAACAUAGUUCUGAACUUACUAGGAAUGGUUUUGCUGUUUCACCACUUCAAAUGUUGAGUAUUGAUUUAAGCAGAUAUUCUUUACCACUGAGGAAAUGUCAAUAGUCAUGAGCCACAUAAUGGCAUUUGUGUCAGAGACAAACCACAUGUAUGACGACGAUCACAUUACAUUAUGUAGCCUAGUGACAUCAUAGGUGUUUUGUUUGGUGUGAGUAUACUCUGUGAAGUUGACACAAUGAUGAAGUUACCUAAUGAUAUAUCCCUCAGAUCUUGUCCCCAGUGUUAAUGUUGAAUGACUGUAUUUUAUUUCACUACAGGUUUGGGUGGUGGUUGUUGUUUGUUUCAAUCAGUAAUUCAUGUUGAACGCUAACCAAAAAAAAAAAGGGAUAUUUUAGAAUGAGUAUUUGUUUUCAUUUGAUUUAUUAAUAUAGUGGUUUAUAUUUAUCAAUUUCCUACUACUGAGUGCUCAUUCUAUUUCUUAUACAAAGCACCCUCCUCCACCUCCCAUUCUCUACUGCCAGAUGGAUAGUCCCAGUGGGGAGGGAGUGACUGUUCUGCAUAGUUCAUCAAUGAGUUCCAUUUCUCUUUCUUCCUCACCUGUUAGCAUCUUGAUCUGUGUUGCUCAACACACUGGCGACUAGUCACAUGAAGCUACUGAAUGUCCAGAGUGUGGCAAGUCUGAAUUGAUGUGUGUACUAAGUGUAAAAUACAUUAGUUUUUAAAGACUGAGUACCAAAAAUAUGCAAAACCUCUCAUCAAUAAUUUUUAUAUUGAGUAUAUGUUGAGAAGAUACUCCUUGGGAUAUAUUGGAUUAAAUAAAAUAUAGUACUACAAUUAAA